CUGGCCCGACCCGCCCUCGCUCGGGGACUACAAGCCGUGCGCGCGCACCCACGCACGUAGCGACGCGUACGUCCACCUGUCCCCCUCACAGGGCGCCUAGGAGAGGCCUCUUCGUGGCCCAUCCGCGCCGCGCAGGCGCACGCCCACGCAGCGCCUAGACGCCGGACCCGAGCGUCCCGUCUCCUAGUAACCAGCGCGCGGCCCCUUUCUCGCGACUUCCUCAGGGCUGGCGCACCUGGAUAGAACGCGCAUGCGCACGGCUGUCUUCCCCCUCUCCCCACGUCUUACUCAACACCUGCUUCUUUUGCGGCCAUGGCUCUUCGCUUUUUCCUAGGGAUCCGAAGUCAUUCUGGACCCACGUUUAUUAGAACAGCUGCUCUUGGGCACAGCUUCUGCUACAGCCAGGAGCCCCCUUUGAGCGCUACUCCCUGGUGCUGCGGUCCUCCAGCUCCAGACUCCUGAGAGUGACCCUCCUGUACCGGUGAGCGCCUGCAGCCUCCUGUCUGGGGAGCCCGUGGAGCCAAGGCCCGGGUCAGCCUUGCACACUCGUGUCAGGCUGGAGGCGGGAGGUGACAGUAAAAACCCAGGUUGCACGAGUCCGUCCCCUUCCAAGUCCUCUUUCCAGAAAAACUGGCGAUGGCUAACAAAGAAAAGUAAUCAAAUUGAAGAAACAUUUCUACUACUUAAAAAAGGUAUCUUCAAACUGCC